GCAAUGCCGCGUGCAGGAUGAAGGCCUUCGGGUUGUAAACUGCUUUUGUACGGAACGAAACGGCUCCCUCUAAUACAGUUUGCUAAUGACGGUACCGUAAGAAUAAGCACCGGCUAACUACGUGCCAGCAGCCGCGGUAAUACGUAGGGUGCGAGCGUUAAUCGGAAUUACUGGGCGUAAAGCGUGCGCAGGCGGUGAUAUNAGACAGAUGUGAAAUCCCCGGGCUCAACCUGGGACCUGCAUUUGUGACUGUAUCGCUAGAGUACGGUAGAGGGGGAUGGAAUUCCGCGUGUAGCAGUGAAAUGCGUAGAUAUGCGGAGGAACACCGAUGGCGAAGGCAAUCCCCUGGACCUGUACUGACGCUCAUGCACGAAAGCGUGGGGAGCAAACAGGAUUAGAUACCCUGGUAGUCCACGCCCUAAACGAUGUCAACUGGUUGUUGGGUCUUCACUGACUCAGUAACGAAGCU
rnacentral:rRNA from 1 species